AGGGCGGCGAAGCCGCGAGGUGGAGCGAAUCCCAAAAAGCCGGUCUAAGUUCGGAUUGCAGGCUGCAACCCGCCUGCAUGAAGUCGGAAUCGCUAGUAAUCGCGAGUCAGCAUAUCGCGGUGAAUACGUUCCCGGGUCUUGUACACACCGCCCGUCACACCAUGGGAGUUGGCAACACCCGAAGUCGAUGAGCUAACCUUUUAGGAGGCAGUCGCCUAAGGUGGGGUUGAUAACUGGGGUGAAGUCGUAACAAGGUAAC
rnacentral:rRNA from 1 species